UAGUAAAAUCAUGGUAACCAUGACACCUACAAAAGUAGGUAAAACCCAGUAAACAAGACAUUUACCAUGUUUUUUUUUUUGUUUUUGUUUUUUACCACAGUAACUGUAGCUUUACUGUAGUAUAGUAAUGGCACAUUAAUCACCAAAUUAACUAUAGUUGUACCACUGUAAUGGUAGUGUUUUAAUGUGCUUUUAUAUGACUUAUUUCACAGUAAUCACAUUUACUGUACCAUGCUUGUAAUACCUUUUUAAUGUAAAAAAAAAAAAAAAAAAAAAAACAUUUUUCCCAUCUUGCAGUUCAAUUCAUAUUUGUUUAUAUCUUAAAUAUUUUGCUCACAGAUCACUAUUAACAUUCUGUAUAUAAUUCUGUUUUAUUUUCUUUCCCCUUGUAUUAAUCUUUUAGUUGAAAAGACGUAAAGUAAGCAGUCACCCCAGUGGUGUUUGUGGAGAGGUAUUCCUUCAGAAAUGGAGAAGACAGAAAGCUGCAGAGGCAGGAUUGUUUGCAGAUAAUGCUGUUCUUCUUUUUCAGAAGUUUUUGGGGAGCCAACCCUCACAAACCUUCCUAAAAACUAAAAGAGCUAUUACUGAGUCUCAGCGACUCUUGCCACGAUCAGCUCUUCCCAGAAGAGAAGGAAGACCAAGGAAAUGAUUUGCUCAGGAUGAGAAAUGAAGAUGGUCAUCUUGUGCUCAAGCAAACAGAAGUCCUCUGAUGAUCUCAUCAACCAAAUGAGGGGUUUUGACCAAGUGAUGCUCUUGAAAGGAGUGAAAGAAGAGGAUGUGGUAAAUUGUCUUCAGAGAAAAAGCUUCUCAAAAGAUCUUAAAACAGCUUGAAGAAUGGUCUGGGAUCUUAGGACUGGGAGAUCUCACUUGCAC